GAACACAAUAAAGCUUAUUGUCUGUUGCCUUGUCUGUUCGCCUGCUAUAAACGGAGUAAGUGACGUUUUUGUCUAAAAUGAUCGCGGCCAUAAAUAAACGUCCCUCUGGGUGUUUCUCGGUGUUUUCCCUACAGGCUCUAACUUGUCUGCUUGGCCAAACUGCAGACAGUCCGACUGACAAAUAGAGACAAAGCCUCUGCUUUUGCUGUUGGCCUCCCCCCGAACCUUCCUUCGUGCCUUCGCUCUUCUUCACCACUGUUCAGAGCAGGGAGACACAUAAUAAGUCCAAUCCUUAACUCGGCCGUAGACACGUGAGGAAUCUGUCCUCCGACUACGAUUUCGGCCUCCCUCUCCCCCUCUGUCCCUCUCCUUGGCAGGACGCUCCGCUUCCUCUCUGUUUUGUGGGAACGGGAAGCGGGAGUAUUGUGUUGGAGCUGCCUGUGGUUUAAUCAUUAAUGAGCUCUAACAGACGGGACGGGGCAGGCAUGGCCUACAGCACGGGACACACACUGGACUCUAAUGCUGUUAUUAUAUAUACACUGCCCGUGUGUAUUAGCACGGACUUAACGUGAUUGUGGCUUUGGCACGUCAUCAGUGGCAACUACCUGCUCGGCAGCCUGCAGGUGUGGUGCAGUUGAGGACACACGAUGCAGUGAACAGACGGACAACUCGGAACCAGAAGUGGAGACUGGAAAGUGUUUCCUGAACGCACCACAUGCUGCAAACCCCGGAGCAACCUAACACGUACCCUCUGAGUUACUGUACAGAACCCAGCGCUUCAGUAUUUUCCUGGGGAAGGAGCGUUCGUCCGUGCGGGGAAGUUGAGUACUGUCCACGCAACGCUAGAUGGUGCCAGAGCGUUUUGUAGACGCGUCCUGGAGCUGGACGUCAAAAGAAGCUGCUUCUGCUGCAGUUACGCCUGUUCUGCUUUCAAGACCCCGUUCGUCCACUUGCUCAGACAGAGACCAGAUGGCAACAAACCCCACAGUCUGCAUCAAAUCUUACCAUAUUACAGCAUUUAAAAAACUAUUGCUUACACGUGACAAGUGGCUCUAAGUGAACUGUUUGUUGAUACCUGUGUAAUGCACACGUGCGCCAACAAAUGUACAAUAAACGACUUGUUUAUCACAA